rnacentral:misc_RNA from 1 species
CGCACAUUGCGCCCCCUGGCAUUCCGGGGGGCAUGCCCGUUCGAGCGUCAUAUAACAAACCUCACGCCUGGCGUGGUGAUGGGCCCUGUGGAUUAGCAGGCCUUAAACGCGGUGGCUAUAAAUUAGUAAAUAGGGAGUCCUGUAGCAUGGUGCCGCAAAUAUCGACAAAUAUAUGCAGCGCGUAGUUUGUACACCCUUGCCAUUUUAACGCAAAACAUAUACAAGUUUGACCUCGGAUCGGGUAGGAAUACCCGCUGAACUUAA